AGUUACCAUCAUUAAGUUGGGGACUCUAAAGAUACUGCCCCGGUUAACGGGAGAAGUGGGGAUGACGUCAAGUCCUCAUGGCCUUUAUGUCCAGGGCUACACACGUGCCACAAUGGGUUGUACAAAGGGUUGCGAACUCGCGAGAGUAAGCCAAUCCCAAAAAGCAACUCUUAGCUCGGAUUGGAGUCUGCAACUCGACUCCAUGAAGCUGGAAUCGCUAGUAAUCGUGGAUCAGCAUGCCACGGUGAAUACGUUCCCGGGCCUU
rnacentral:rRNA from 1 species